GCCAGUGACACGGGGUGCUGCCCGGCGACGAGCCGGGCGGCUGAGACCACACCCGUCGAACCUGAACUGGGUAAUGCCGGCGAAGGGAUGUCGCGGAGACGGCCG
rnacentral:ncRNA from 2 species